AUUGAACGCUGGCGGCAUGCCUAAUACAUGCAAGUCGAGCGGACAAAUAAGGCUUUCUCCCCUAUUCAGCUGCCGACGGGUGAGUAAUUACUACGAAUCUGCCCUAUCUUUAAGAAUAGCAUCCCUACACGGACCCUAAGAUCACACACGAUCACAUGUUGAAACUCAUGGUUCUUCAGUCCUCACGCUCUUUGCUGAGCCUAAGUCGUAUUAGCUAGUUGUUGGGGUAAAGGCCUACCAAGGCGACGAUCCGUAACUGGUCUGAGAGGAUGAUCAGUCACACUGGAACUGAGACACGGUCCAGACUCCUACGGGAGGCAGCAGUGGGGAAUAUUGGACAAUGGGCGAAAGCCUGAUGGAGCAACGCCGCGUGUGUGAUGAAGGUCUUCGGAUUGUAAAACUCUUUAAGUUGGGAGGAAGGAAAGUGAGAGAAAAUGUGGGUGUUUUGACGGUACCUAAAGAGAAAGCAACGGCUAACUUCGUG
rnacentral:rRNA from 1 species